GAUGAACGCUGGCGGCGUGCCUAAUACAUGCAAGUCGAGCGAAUGGAUUAAGAGCUUGCUCUUAUGAAGUUAGCGGCAGACGGGUGAGUAACACGUGGGUAACCUGCCCAUAAGACUGGGAUAACUCCGGGAAACCGGGGCUAAUACCGGAUAACAUUUUGAACCGCAUGGUUCGAAAUUGAAAGGCGGCUUCGGCUGUCACUUAUGGAUGGACCCGCGUCGCAUUACCUAGUUGGUGAGGUAACGGCUCACCAAGGCAACGAUGCGUAGCCGACCUGAGAGGGUGAUCGGCCACACUGGGACUGAGACACGGCUCAGACUCCUACGGGAGGCAGCAGUAGGGAAUCUUCCGCAAUGGACGAAAGUCUGACGGAGCAACGCCGCGUGAGUGAUGAAGGCUUUCGGGUCGUAAAACUCUGUUGUUAGGGAAGAACAAGUGCUAGUUGAAUAAGCUGGCACCUUGACGGUACCUAACCAGAAAGCCACGGCUAACUACGUGCCAGCAGCCGCCGUAA
rnacentral:rRNA from 1 species